rnacentral:rRNA from 1 species
CGGUGACAAGAUUUAACGGCCGCGGUACCCUAACCGUGCGAAGGUAGCAUAAUCACUUGUUCUUUAAAUGAGGACUCGUAUCAACGGCAUCACGAGGAUCCUACUGUCUCCCCCCUCUAAUCGGUGAAACUGAUCUCUCCGUGAAGAAGCGGAGAUGUACAUAUAAGACGAGAAGACCCCAUGGAGCUUUAAACCCAACAACACCCGCCCCCCUCCAAAUCCUAUUAUUUACCCGGUGACUGUUUGUUUGGUUUUAGGUUGGGGUGACCGCGGAGUAUAAGAUAUCCUCCAUGAAAAAAAGCUAACUGCCCUUAUUAGAGAAAGACACUUCCAAAAAAUAAUAAAUUAAUUUUAAAUGAUCCGACAUUCGAUCAACGAACCAAGUUACCCUGGGGAUAACAGCGCAAUCCGCCCCGAGAGCCCCUAUCGACAGGCGGGUUUACGACCUCGAUGUUGGAUCAGGGUAUCCCAGUGGUGCAGCA